rnacentral:rRNA from 1 species
CGACAGCAAUAGUGAAGGUCAGGCUGAAGACCUUACCGGAUUAGCUGAGAGGUGGUGCAUGGCCGUCGUCAGUUCGUACUGUGAAGCAUCCUGUUAAGUCAGGCAACGAGCGAGACCCACGUCCACAGUUGCCAGCAUACCCUCCGGGGUGAUGGGUACACUGUGGAGACCGCCGCUGCUAAAGCGGAGGAAGGAAUGGGCAACGGUAGGUCAGUAUGCCCCGAAUCUCCCGGGCUACACGCGGGCUACAAUGGUUGGUACAAUGGGCAUCUACCCCGAAAGGGGAAGGAAAUCUCUUAAAGCCAAUCGUAGUUCGGAUUGAGGGCUGCAACUCGCCCUCAUGAAGCUGGAAUCCGUAGUAAUCGCGUUUCAACAGAACGCGGUGAAUACGUCCCUGCUCCUU